rnacentral:rRNA from 1 species
GUCCACGCCCUAAACGAUGAAUACUCGCUGUUAGCGAUACACAGUUAGCGGCUAAGCGAAAGCGUUAAGUAUUCCACCUGGGGAGUACGGUCGCAAGAUUGAAACUCAAAGGAAUUGACGGGGGCCCCGCACAAGCGGAGGAGCAUGUGGUUUAAUUCGAUGAUACGCGAGGAACCUUACCCGGGCUUGAAAGUUAGUGAAUCAUUUAGAGAUAGAUGAGUGAGCAAUCACACGAAACUAGGUGCUGCAUGGCUGUCGU